GAUGAACGCUGGCGGCGUGCCUAAUACAUGCAAGUCGAGCGAACGGACGAGAAGCUUGCUUCUCUGAUGUUAGCGGCGGACGGGUGAGUAACACGUGGAUAACCUACCUAUAAGACUGGGAUAACUUCGGGAAACCGUAGCUAAUACCGGAUAAUAUUUUGAACCGCAUGGUUCAAAAGUGAAAGACGGUCUUGCUGUCACUUAUAGAUGGAUCCGCGCUGCAUUAGCUAGUUGGUAAGGUAACGGCUUACCAAGGCAACGAUGCAUAGCCGACCUGAGAGGGUGAUCGGCCACACUGGAACUGAGACACGGUCCAGACUCCUACGGGAGGCAGCAGUAGGGAAUCUUCCGCAAUGGGCGAAAGCCUGACGGAGCAACGCCGCGUGAGUGAUGAAGGUCUUCGGAUCGUAAAACUCUGUUAUUAGGGAAGAACAUAUGUGUAAGUAACUGUGCACAUCUUGACGGUACCUAAUCAGAAAGCCACGGCUAAUUACGUG
rnacentral:rRNA from 1 species